ACUCAUCUGAUCACAUCCACAGAAGAAGGGUUAGGUUGCAAUUCUUGCCGGUUCGAUCAACAAGUAUUGUCAUGGUUUUCGGGGAACCAUUAAAUGACAAGAAAACAGCACGAAACGUCGGUAUUCGGACACACAAACGUAAUUGGCACAACAAAAGAUUUUCUUUUUCUAGAACCAUGGCAAAACUUUGUGAUAAUUCUCCAGCCUACUGGAAUUACAACUACUUCUGCUUUUCAAAACGAAAACGAAAACAAAACAACAUGACCAAGGUGAAACAACGCGUUGAUGCGUUAUUCGCAGUCUUUUUCAAGCUGGUCAGCUGUUUGUUAUCCCCCCCCCUUUCCUCCCUGCUUCCCUCCUCACCUUCACCCCCGACCCUUGUCUAUUUACAUUCUACAAUCCAGAGAAUUAAGACGGUUCUGGUGACUUGCGAGUCUUGACGGUGCCGUCUCAAUUGAAUACAAUUAUAAAGGCGUUAUCCUUUCGUACGCCUUCCGUAGUGCGUGUAACUGCGACUUUGAAAGUUUCUCCAGGUGUCUGCUCUGUCGAGUUUCCUGCUUUCUUCAUCAGCUGCUGGUUAAUGCUUGAACGGGAAAGUGGAUUCAGAGCUCCUUGUUAUGAGUCAAGAUGGAUGUUGCCAAUGUGGAUGAGUGGCUGUUCUUUGUGACUCAUGCAGGCCUAGUCUUCAUCCAAACAGUAGAGUGUUCAAAUUUACCUUAUUAGCUGUGCAAGAGGCUUGGCGACUCCAGUAAAUAGGACCACGUUUUUUUGUGCGGGCUGUUGAACUUGAGAACUGCUAGUACCAGCAAAACCAAACUCAUCUCUGGCUUCAACACAACACCUUGAUCCAGUGAUGCCCAAUUCUGUUAACUGACUGAAUGUGUACAGGUGUAUUAUUUCUAGUAUAGAUUGCUUCUGUCUUUAAUCAUAAACUGUGCAUUUUGUUUUAAUUCUCAUGCAUUUUAAGAGUGUGGUUUGUUUGCAAACUGUGAAAUAUUGAUGUACUAGUGCUGCCACGAAAAGAUUUCUGAAACGGCUGUUAAAUAUUGAGUAAAAUUUUGUCAGUGUGUGAAGAUCUUGAGUAGGAAUUCUGGAGAAGGUUGAUUAGACAAUUCAAUAAAUAAAAGGUCAAAGUA